UACGGGGGGUGCGAGCGUUGUCCGGAAUCACUGGGCGUAAAGGGCGCGUAGGUGGUCUUGUAAGUCUGUGGUGAAAGCCCGGGGCUCAACCCCGGGUCUGCCGUGGAUACUGCGAGACUUGAGUACUGUAGAGGCAGGUAGAAUAUCGGGUGUAGCGGUGGAAUGCGUAGAGAUCCGAUAGAAGACCGGUGGCGAAGGCGGCCUGCUGGGCAGUAACUGACACUGAGGCGCGACAGCGUGGGGAGCAAACAGG
rnacentral:rRNA from 1 species